rnacentral:pre_miRNA from 1 species
UAUAUACUUCCUCCGUCUAGAAUUAGUUGUCGCACAAAUGAAUGAAUGUAGAUGCAUAUUAGUUCUACAUACAUCCAUUUUUGCGACAAGUAAAUCAGGGCGGAGGGAGUAUUUA